UUACAGUCUUCUGCUUGCAAAUUUGUGUAUUUCAAUUGAUAUCAAUUGUUAGUUGUUAUUUGAUUCUUUUCUGUCUGGCAUUUUCGAGGUUUUUUUCUGAUUAUUACCAGCAAGUAGUUAAUAAGAAUUAUCAUAUACUUUUGUAAAUGUAGAAAUAUUGGUAUGUAUUCCAAUACCAAACAAAAUUGCAUGUUUGAUUGUUUUAAGUGUGGUCAAUUGUCUAAAGCCUAGACGGACAAAGGAAGCUGCAAUUGCUUCUGUAACUCAUUGCCCCACCGACCAGCUGUGGUGACGCCAGUCGCCAACAGCUACAGCGCUUUUCCAGGAGGCUUCAGUUAUUCUGUGACUGGUGACCAAGGCACAACACAUCACCCAGCAACUUACAAUCUUGCUGGCGGAGAGUGUUGCUGAGCAGCUGACCAACUACGGCUGCUGGAGCGUUUCUCAGUCGGCGACCUCCGUAGACUGUCAAGCCUCCCUGGCCUUCUGCGACUCAAGAAGGAGGGAUUUUUAUCUGUGUUUACCAUACAAGAGACAUUUUAAUCUGACGAUUCGAUCGGAUCUGGAUCAUGAAUCCCGAGGCGGUGUGAUAGAUGGUCGAGGCCGGCGCGCCACGCCAGACGCCUUCUCGCGCGGGGCGUGCUCAGGUCAGUCAGGUUGCGCUGCCGGACUCUGCUCCGAGGAGAGAAGCACAUAAGCGCAGUCAGGACGCGAGUGUGGUUGCACCGCCCCGGUCCCAGCAACCGCAUGGCGGUGGGGACUCACAGCCCGGCUGAUGGUUCCAGAUCGUCUCAGCGCAGCUUCUUCUCCGGACCCCGGCGGGGCAGCGAGGCUGGUGGUUCGGAGCCGACUGAUGGAGGACAGCAAAAGAACAGCAGGACAGGACAGCACCCUAACAGUAGCCUUCGGUCAUGUGGCGAGAGCUGGGCCCCGGACCGGUCGAAAGGGUGCUCACUGCUCAGCUGAGUGGGUAAUGUCCGCGUCUCGUUAGUGUCCCCGGCCAGGUCCUGAAGGGUAGAUGAGGGCGGGAUAUUCUCCUUUAUAGACGCAAAGCAAUGCCAGAAGAAUGGUUUUGCGAUCGAGUUGCAUGCGCUGUCCCUGCCUGUCGCUCCUGCUGCCGCCGGCGGGGUUGGCGCUAAUGGCCAUUGACGGGGCUGCUGUGUUUGUAAAUUAGGUUGGAUGGACCCCUGCUUUCAGAGUUUUGUGUUGGUCGCUGGUAACCCAUGUUUUGUGGCCAGCGUGUUACGAACCCACGUAGUGGUUUGACCCCGUGGGGUGCUGUGAGACAGCGCGGAGCGACGCGUGGAUGCUGCUGAAACACGCUGAUGUUUGUGUGUACCUAUCGUCAUUUUGAAGUGCUGCUUGAGUUUGCUCGUUUGUUCUGUCUUACUGUUUUGUGUUUUCUACCAAGAUAAUGUUGAUAAGAUUGUUCAAUAAAGUUUGAGUUGAGACUUCCGGACCGGGAAAGACUGAGACGUCUGAACCGGGGCCGGCAAAGGCGUCUAAACCGGGACCGAUUGAGGCAGCUGGACUGGGACCAACGAAUGGCAGCCAGUUCUGGACCGAAAGUGGCAGGGCUGCAUCCGAUGCGCCACCACAUACCGUAUCACUGGCAGCCAUAUGCGUUCCUGUCGCAGGCCACCGUUCACGCUUCAGUUUCGGCGCUGGUGCCCCGGCCGGGUAUAUGCUCUGCUCGGUAUACCUAACUGUUGUGAGCAAAACCUCGUAAUCGUACGUCUAAUGCUUUAGUUGUUGUUUGAAUCCGCGUAAAUUAUGACAUUCUGGCAACUAUGCUGACCCAUAACCAAGCAUAGGUCAAUGUUGGCUCAGUCGGCUACGGUCGAAGUUAUGGUGUUUUUCCAGCCGAUAAUGCAUCAAUAUAAACUCCUUCCACA